rnacentral:tRNA from 1 species
GUUUGGCUGGCUCAAUCAGUAGAGCAUGUGACUUUUGAUCAAAGGGUCAUGAGUUCAAGCCCCAUGUUUGGCA